GCCAAGAUCAUGCCACUGCACUCCAGCCCAGGCGAUAGAGUGAGACUCCAUCUCAAAGAAAAAGAAAAAAGUUUUUGGAGGAAGGAAUAAUAUUCUUUACAAUUUUAAUACCUGGAAAUGCCUUUUUAUUUACAAUAUUUCUUUAGACUGUGAACUUCCCAUAGCAAAGACUUUUCCAUAUUUGUUUUAAUUUACUUAAUGCCCAGCACAUGGGGUUACUCUUACAUGUUUCUGAAAUGCAUGCCAUUGUGGAUUGUGUGAAAUGAAAUGCAUGUGGUUUUUUAACUGAUCACUCAAGUUGAUUAGACUGCCACGUCCCAUGCGAAAAGAGGGUGCUCAGAAAGCCAGGAUUGGAUAAUAAUUUGAGAAUACUCAAGUUUCUAGUAGUCCUAGUCAGUUGAACCUAAAAAUGCCAUUAACCCUUUCUCAAAGAAGCAGAUUGGAGGUGAGUAGCAGUUGUGUGGCUUUUUGGUAUGCAGCUGUUCACUUUCAAAACUUAAUUUAAAACAAUAAAAAAUGUACCUCGAAAUCAUUUUGUUUCCCUAUUUAUUUAAUGUGAUUUAUUCUAAAUGCGUUUCAUAUCACCAUAAUGUAUUGGAGCUCAACCACCACCUGUUAUUUUGUAGGGGAAAUAAACAAGACCUCUCUCAUCAGAUGAGUUAAUUACACUGACAUAUUCACUCCUCCCCAGAGAUACCAUAAACUAAAAUGCCGCAAAGCUUUAAUUCAAACAAGCAGGCUGGAAACAAGAGCUAUUGCAGUGGUAUAAUUUUCUUUGGGAGAAUCAAAAGCUCAACACAGGCUUGAACUUAGGGGGCAAGAUAGCUGGAGUUGAUCAAAUGGAGGCUUGUCUAGGGUCGCAUAAUAAAUCUGUAGGUGAGUUUAGCUUGAACCCAUUUCUCAAUGUUUUGGCACUAUUUUCCAACCUUUGUGCUUCUGAGCAUCAUGUGGUCAUUUUUAAAACUGUUUCAUCCCGUUAUUUCUCCCUCCCCUCAGGUGUUUGUCUGGGGAUGGCUGUGCACCCGGAAGGCCAUUCGCUCCAUGAAGAAUGUGAAGGAGGUACCUGGUCCUACCUGGAUUCUUGGGUGUGCGGGCAGCAGCAGCAGCAGCCAUAGUGAACUUCAUCCUAAGGAAAUUAAGCACGUGUUGCAUGAGGCUGCUGUGGGGGUGCCAGGUGCUGGAGUUUCUGUAGUGGAUAAAACACAAAAAUACCAGACCUCAUGGUGAAAAGAGAACGACAAUAAACAAGAUAAAUUAGAUCUAUGGUGUUGAGGAGGGAGGCGGGACUUUAGUCUGGAGACUGGGUUCCGAUGACUCCAGACCAAAUUGAAGACUAGUUAAAACAGGGACCCGACGGGAGCAGCUUUCCCUAAGACACCUCACCCGUCUGCCAUGUCAGUUUACCAUUGCCAUGGCAACACCCGGGAGUUACCACCCCUUUCCAUGGCAAUGACCCAAGGAUCCAAAAGUUACCACCCUUCCUCUGGAAAUUUCUGCAUCAACUGGCCCUUAAUCUACAAGUCAUUAAAAGUAAGUGUAAAUAUGGCUGCAAAACUGCCCUGAGCUGCUACUCUCGGCACACUGCCCAUGGGGUAGCCCAGCUCUGCAGGAGCAGUCACAGAGCUGUAAUACUGCCGGAGCUAUAACACUGACGCUUCAAUAAAGCUGUUUUCUUCUACUCUACCACUGGCUCACCCUUGAAUUGUUUCCUGGGUGAAGCCAAGAACCCUCAUGGGCUAAACUCCAAUCCGGAGUUGCCUGUCCUGCACCAGCAUCUUAUAUUCAUAAGUUCCAUAAAGAAAAUAAGGCAGGGGAGGGUCCAUGGUGGUGUGGGCAGUGUAAGUUGUACUUUUAAAUAGGGUGGUCAGGGCCGCAUUCUCUGCUAUACAUAAUGAUUGCUGGGAACUUUUGGGCAAAUGAGUAACUCAGAACUAAAUAAGUAGCUUAAUAAACAGUCUUUCCAUUUGUUUUUCACAAAAUACAUUUUUAGUUCAUAUACAAUGGAAGCAGGGUCACAUAUUAUACAAUUCCAGGGAGCUCCACUCAAAACUGGGCUUGUCAACAUGGCAACCCAGGGAGUGAGUGCAUUUUAAUAUUCUUGACAUAACCCAAGGUGGUACCUCCUAUGACAAGAAUGGCCAGGAUUACAAAAGUCUUAAAAGAGCCCUUCUCACUUUGGUCACGUAGCAUUGCAGGUCUGCAAGUCAAAUGACAGGGCACCCUAGGAAAAGUGGUGUUUGCCAACUGAACUCUUGGAGGUAGAUUGAUAAAUCCACAAACCAAUUUAUUCAUUUACAGCAGGCGAUGUAACCGGCACAAUAACUCAAUCAGUCUCUUUCCUGGUAUUGACUUACCUGAGGAACCAAAUUAAUUAUCAGAAGGUUGCUCUGCUAAGUAUGGAAUUAGAAAGAAAGGAAAUUGGAUGGUCUUAAGGGAUUGUUCUUACAGGCUUGGAUAAAUCCUGAUAAAUUGCCUUUAAAGAGAAAGGAAUGCGUUGCUCUUUGAGAACCUGGCUCAGUUGUAACCACCUUCUCCUUGAACUCUGACGCUGACCCAAGUUUGUCAUCCAAGGCUUUUAGUUUACACUUGUUCUUAUAUUACCUCGUUUCAAAAAAAAAAUCUAAAUUGCAUUGUAAAUCAAUGAGAUUUUAAGUGUGCUGUGUUCUGACUGUGUCCAGGGAGGUAUUUUAAUCUCAUGGAUAAAUGGUAAUCUUUCAUCAGAGAUAAUUUCCUCUUUUUGAUCUUUCUCUUUAUUCCUUUGUCUGUCUUGCUUUUUAGGUCCUUUUUCUUUUUUCUCACCACCAUAGCAAAUGUCUCAAAAAACUGUGGUUGUAAAAUAUACAGAUAACAACCACGCCUUUAUUUCAUCAUAGUGGUUAGGAGCACACACUCCAGCUAAAUCCUGGUCCUUCUUGGAGGCUGUAUGAUCUUAAGUAAGCUCACUUUGCUUCAAUUUUCUUAUUUAUAAAGUGGGGAUAAUAACAGCCAUGUUAUAGAGUUAUUCUGAUGAUUCCAAAGGGCCUCAGAGACCUAGGAUCCGCAAAAUCAAAAGUAUGUUCAUAAAAAUAUUAAGGAGUAUAUUAUGUUCAUAAAAAUAUUAAGGAGUAAUUAGCCUUUUCACUUAGUUGAUUUUUGGAAUAAUGGUGCAAGAUCCAUGCUGGGUAGACAGUGGUGCCUCAGUAUGACAAGUGGUGGCACCAACUGUGCUAGCAGUCUUGGUAUUCUGCACCACUUGCGGGGGGGGGAAAAUGAAACUUAAGAACAGCCUUGAUGAAGUAGUAACAUUUCUUAAUUUUAUUAAAUCUUGAUUUUUUAAUGUUCUGUGUGAUAAAAAGGGAAGUGUAUUUAAAGCACUUCUGCUAUAUAAGGUAUCAUGAUGGUUGUUUCUAGGAAAACACUUGUAUGAUUGAAUUGGGAGCUGAAGUAGACAUGGCUUUCAUAAAACAUUUUUAUUUGGAAAAAUGACUGACAAAUUAUGGUAAUUCAGACCUCAGAAUCUGGCUGAUUUUUUUUUUUUUUUGAAAAUGAGCAAAAUGAGUAUCACUGCAAGGAAAACAGCAAGUGGUAUUUGUUGCCAAUGAUAAAAUCCUUAUUUUCAAGCAAAAAUGAGAAUUUUGUAAAAGUUGAACCUGCCACUAUGAGCUUGACAGCUUCCCCAUGCUUAAAUACUUUUCUGAUAAGAAUGGUGGUGAUAUGAACUAUGUCAGUAUCGGGAGUAUCUUCAUAACCUGCUAAGUCAAUAUUUUCCAGAUGACCAAUGUGUGAUGUUACAAAACCAUGCAUGCAUUAAAGGUCUAUUCAAAUUGCAAGAUAGACCAAAUGGAUUUUAAUGUAGCAGAGUAUGAAAAGUCUAUUGAAUAUGAUUUCACAUUCCACAUUGUAGUAACCUUUAAAAACUUAUUACCUGUUGAGUUUUGGUGUAGUAUCAAAGAAGAAAAUCCUUACUUAUCUGAAAAGCUUUUUAAAAUACUCUUAUUUUUUCUAAGCACACACAUGUUGGGACUGGAUUUUCCUCAUAUACUUGCCUUAACCAGAACAUAUUAUUACAGACUGAACACAGGGAAGGAUAGGAGAAUGUAGCUGUUUUCUACAACUAGGCAUUAAAAAUGUACUUCUUACUAAAUCUUUUUUGUUUUGGAAACUAUAGUUAUCCUUUUAUAGGCAUAUGUUGUUUAUAUUAACAUGUAAUGGAUUCACUGUCAUUUAUUAUUAAUUUAUUAUUUUAGCAUGAAUUUUUAAAUAAACAUAUUAAAACUUCCGCAGUUUUAAUUUCUACCACGGCAAAUGUUGAUUGUGAUAAGCCAUAUAAACAAAAACUCUCUGGGAAGCUCAAUGAUUUCUAAGAGUGUGAAGGCAUCUUAAGACCUAAAAGUCUUGAGUGUCACUGAUUUAGAACAUUGCUUAGCUCAUAGGAAACGGCACGUAAUCCUUAACACUUUUAUCGGCUAAUUCUUCACACGCCUAGAAUUACUUGUUCCCAAAGUAUGUAUAAUUUUAAUAAGAGUUAACUUUUAUUAAAGAUUUACUUUGUGUGUGCCAGACACUGUGCUAUUUGCUUUGCAUGUAUUAUCUAACCUAACUUUUAAUAAAAUGUGAUGAGAUAGGUACCAAUGUUAGUUUUGUUUUAUAGAUGAGGGAAAUGAAGUACGGAAAGGUUAGGUAAUUUGACCAAGGUCACACAGCUAUGGAAUAGCAGAAAUGAGACCCCAGGCAGUCUGAUUCCAGACUGCCCCUCAUGACUUUUUUUCUAUGUGAGUUGUGUUUAUAUUAUUUCCCCAUUUAAGUGCUCUGAGUCCCUCACCAACUUGAUUGUGGGAUCAGAGUCCAUUCCCCUGACUCAACCCAAGCAAGUCUCCCCAGUACUUUCUAGGAACUUCCAAAAGAGUACCUCUCUCAUGGAGCCACAGUGAAGUCUGGUUACCAAACGAGUUGAAGUUUUGCCAUCACCUUCCUAAUGAUGCUCUUCAUAUAUAAGCUAUUACCUCACAACAUCUGGGACACCAACAAGUGCUGGUUCUAUCAAGACUGGCUAUAUAAUUUGCAGGAUCCAGUGCAAAAUAAAAAUGUGGGGCCUCUUCUUUAAAAGUAAGUCUGCAGCUGCAAAGCAUUGAUCAAGUACAGAGUUCCAUGUGAAGUGCUCUUUCAGUUGCAUGCCUGGGGAAUUGGCUCUGGGUUCUCUGCAGAGACGGGAAAUACCACAGCCUUUCUGAAUCUGUCACAGCUUGUGCCCCUUGGGCAUGAAAGCAGGAGCCUCAUGGCCCCACAUACUUUCUUGUGAAAAUGGGUCCUGCAGCUUCCAGUCUUUGGUCCUCUAGCCAGAGACCAUCGAAUCUAGUACACAGGGAUGGAGGUGCUGAUGCCUUGAUACUCGCUCUGCUAUCUUGUCUUUCCUCUCCUUCCAGCAGCAAAACCAAGCCUUUGUGCUCAUCUGUGGUUGUGACCAGUUGGAGAGACAUUAGGAGAUGAGAUACUGUGUUCACUCCUCACAGCUGAACCAGGGACCUGAGAUAUUCCAUCACUAUUCUAUAACAAAAGGCAAAUAUGCAAAGGACACUCAGGUAUGAAAAUCACCCCUCCUCCGUGAACUGGUGGCCUGUGAAAGAGGAACCCAGAGAGGAACUGGCAUUCUUCUAUUUCUAUAUUUCCUUCGUUUGGCACCAAAGGCCUCCCAUCAGCGCCAUGAGGGGGAUGCUUUUAGCAUCUCCAUCUCACAGAUGAAGACACUGAGGCUUAGCCAGAUGAAGCGGCUUCUCCAGCUGAGUGGUGCAGGCAGUACUUCCUUUGCAGCCUAGGUUCCUUCCUUUGCAGCCACGUUUCCAUUCACCUGGAUGGAGGGAGCUAUGGUGCAUUACUCACGAGUGACAGAACCAACGAGCUUCAUCUCCCAAGAGGCCGGUGCAUCUGUUUAAAAAGAGCAGGCGCUAUGCAGAGCCGCCCCCACCCCACCAUCCAUGGCGGAGUGCAGUGG